GGGGCCGUAGCUCAGUUGGGAGAGCGCUUGAAUGGCAUUCAAGAGGUCGUCGGUUCGAUUCCGUCCGGCUCCA
rnacentral:tRNA from 1 species